rnacentral:rRNA from 1 species
UACGUAGGGGGCAAGCGUUGUCCGGAAUCAUUGGGCGUAAAGCGCGUGUAGGCGGCCAGAAAAGUCCGCUGUGAAAACUCGAGGCUCAACUUCGAGCUGUCGGUGGAAACUUUCUGGCUAGAGUCCGGAAGAGGAGAAUGGAAUUCCUGGUGUAGCGGUGAAAUGCGCAGAUAUCAGGAAGAACACCCGUGGCGAAGGCGGCGCUCUGGGCCGGUACUGACACUGAGGAGCGAAAGCGUGGGUAGCAAACAGG